AAAAUGCACAUACUGUGAGCUCGAUGAGUAGGGCGGGACACGUGGUAUCCUGUCUGAAUAUGGGGGGACCAUCCUCCAAGGCUAAAUACUCCUGACUGACCGAUAGUGAACCAGUACCGUGAGGGAAAGGCGAAAAGAACCCCGGCGAGGGGAGUGAAAAAGAACCUGAAACCGUGUACGUACAAGCAGUGGGAGCCUCUUAAUGGGGUGACUGCGUACCUUUUGUAUAAUGGGUCAGCGACUUAUAUUCUGUAGCAAGGUUAACCGAAUAGGGGAGCCGAAGGGAAACCGAGUCUUAACUGGGCGUUAAGUUGCAGGGUAUAGACCCGAAACCCGGUGAUCUAGCCAUGGGCAGGUUGAAGGUUGGGUAACACUAACUGGAGGACCGAACCGACUAAUGUUGAAAAAUUAGCGGAUGACUUGUGGCUGGGGGUGAAAGGCCAAUCAAACCGGGAGAUAGCUGGUUCUCCCCGAAAGCUAUUUAGGUAGCGCCUCGUGAAUUCAUCUCCGGGGGUAGAGCACUGUUUCGGCAAGGGGGUCAUCCCGACUUACCAACCCGAUGCAAACUGCGAAUACCGGAGAAUGUUAUCACGGGAGACACACGGCGGGUGCUAACGUCCGUCGUGAAGAGGGAAACAACCCAGACCGCCAGCUAAGGUCCCAAAGUCAUGGUUAAGUGGGAAACGAUGUGGGAAGGCCCAGACAGCCAGGAUGUUGGCUUAGAAGCAGCCAUCAUUUAAAGAAAGCGUAAUAGCUCACUGGUCGAGUCGGCCUGCGCGGAAGAUGUAACGGGGCUAAACCAUGCACCGAAGCUGCGGCAGCGACACUAUGUGUUGUUGGGUAGGGGAGCGUUCUGUAAGCCUGUGAAGGUGUACUGUGAGGUAUGCUGGAGGUAUCAGAAGUGCGAAUGCUGACAUAAGUAACGAUAAAGCGGGUGAAAAG
rnacentral:rRNA from 1 species